CACCGGCGGCUCGAGUGGUGGCCACUUUUAUUGGGUCUAAAGCGUCCGUAGCCGGCUUGGCAAGUCCCCUGGGAAAUCUGGCGGCUUAACCGUCAGGCGUCCAGAGGAUACUGCCAGGCUUGGGACCGGGAGAGGUGAGAGGUACCUCAGUGGUAGGGGUGAAAUCUUGUGAUCCCUGAGGGACCACCAGUGGCGAAGGCGUCUCACUAGAACGGGUCCGACGGUCAGGGACGAAAGCUGGGGGCACGAACCGG
rnacentral:rRNA from 1 species